rnacentral:rRNA from 1 species
UACGUAGGGUGCGAGCGUUAAUCGGAAUUACUGGGCGUAAAGGGUGCGCAGGCGGCGUCGCAAGUCAGGCGUGAAAUCCCCGGGCUUAACCUGGGAACUGCACUUGAAACUACGAUGCUGGAGUAUGGCAGAGGGAGGUGGAAUUCCACGUGUAGCGGUGAAAUGCGUAGAGAUGUGGAGGAACACCAGUGGCGAAGGCGACUCUUUGGCCUGUAACUGACGCUGAGGCGCGAAAGCGUGGGGAGCGAUCCGG